rnacentral:rRNA from 1 species
UACGUAGGUGGCAAGCGUUGUCCGGGUUUAUUGGGUUUAAAGGGUGCGUAGGCGGCUUUGUAAGUCAGUGGUGAAAUAUGGCAGCUCAACUGUCAGGGUGCCAUUGAUACUGCGGAGCUUGAGUACAGAUGAGGUAGGCGGAAUUGACGGUGUAGCGGUGAAAUACUUAGAUAUCGUCAAGAACACCGAUAACGAAGGCAGCUUACUAGGCUGUAACUGACGCUGAGGCACGAAAGUGUGGGGAUCAAACAGG